AUGAACGCUGGCGGCGUGCUUAACACAUGCAAGUCGAGCGAAGCGGUUUCAAUGAAGUUUUCGGACGGAAUUGGAAUUGACUUAGCGGCGGACGGGUGAGUAACGCGUGGGUAACCUGCCUUACACUGGGGGAUAACAGUUAGAAAUGACUGCUAAUACCGCAUAAGCGCACAGGGCCGCAUGGUCUGGUGUGAAAAACUCCGGUGGUGUAAGAUGGACCCGCGUCUGAUUAGGUAGUUGGUGGGGUAACGGCCCACCAAGCCGACGAUCAGUAGCCGACCUGAGAGGGUGACCGGCCACAUUGGGACUGAGACACGGCCCAAACUCCUACGGGAGGCAGCAGUGGGGAAUAUUGGACAAUGGGCGAAAGCCUGAUCCAGCGACGCCGCGUGAGUGAAGAAGUAUUUCGGUAUGUAAAGCUCUAUCAGCAGGGAAGAAAAUGACGGUACCUGACUAAGAAGCCCCGGCUAACUACGUGCCAGCAGCCGCGGUAAUACGUAGGGGGCAAGCGUUAUCCGGAUUUACUGGGUGUAAAGGGAGCGUAGACGGUUAAGCAAGUCUGAAGUGAAAGCCCGGGGCUCAACCCCGGUACUGCUUUGGAAACUGUUUGACUUGAGUGCAGGAGAGGUAAGUGGAAUUCCUAGUGUAGCGGUGAAAUGCGUAGAUAUUAGGAGGAACACCAGUGGCGAAGGCGGCUUACUGGACUGUAACUGACGUUGAGGCUCGAAAGCGUGGGGA
rnacentral:rRNA from 1 species